UCUUUCCUUAUCUUCAUCACUAAGGCAGCCUAGCACGCUAGACCUCCCUCCCUCUCUCGUUUCCCCUGCCUCUCCCCUGCUGCUCCGCCGCUUCUCUUUCUUUCUCUCUCUCUCUCUCUCUCUGUACCUCUCCUCCAACCCCGCCCCUUCCCUGCUGCUUUGCCGCCGCCCGUCCUCGUUAGCUGCCGUGCCGCCCUCCUCUACCACUUCUCCACCGCGACUGUUGCGAUUUCGUGCGCGGAGUGAUUGGGCGAGCGCGACCUUCCCUACGAAGGCGACUCCGCGUCGAGUUCCAUGCCCAUCUCCCUUCUCCACGCCACCCCUACCAUCACCUCGACGCGGGGCAUGCCAGCUCCUCCUCUCCCCUUCCCUUAAUCCAGAUCCGUGGAGGUGGUCGGCAGGAACGCCAUCGACCUUAGGGUUGAGCAGUGGCGAUCAUCCCAGAUCAGAGUCAUCCGGCAUCGCUCGAGGGAGAUUACAGCGAUUUCAUGAUUGUGGGAGAUUCCUUGCUCUUUUGGGCCUGUGGAAGUGGCUACUUGUGGAGGUUGAUUGAUUUGGUUGGUUCGUUGCCACGAGAGUGACGGUUUGGAGAUAUGUUCUUGUUUUUGGUACAUGUUCAAAUACUGACAUAAAAAUAUAAUGUGAUAAAUUCAGAUACAUCUUUUUAAAUAGGCGAUAUGAUCUUGUUUGAUUUCUCUACAAGAUCUCAGAUAGCCAACUAGCAUCAUUCUUAAAUCAAAAGAAAGAUUGUGAUCCGCGCAGUUAUGAUAUGUCCUCAUAGUGAAUUUAAAACAUGAAAACUGUAACCUGAAGCUUUGAGCUUUAUCACCUGAUCUUUUCUGUUUAUAAUGAACACCAAGCUAUAAAUCUUCACGUGCCUUUCUUGUUUAAGGUUGUCAGUCGAUCUACGCGCAGCUGCGGCUCCGUGUCCUGACAAGGUCUCUAUGGAUAACAAGCGCAUUGAGUAUGUCGCCCUCCUGCUCGUCCGCUUCCUCGACAUCCUCUAGGACCUACACGGCCCCCACGCCCGCGAGUUCAUACAUCUGGUCUACUUCCGAGAUCCGCAUACCAUCUGUUCGAUGAUAUUCCCAUACAGAUUGUUUGGUUCUGUUUCUACUAUACAGGUGCUUAAUCUUGGUGUGGAUUGAGGCAUCACAAUUUUGUUAGGCUAGGGUAUUCAAGAUCAGGACACACAUCAUGGUGAGCUCCUUGGUCAUCAGCUGAUCCAUCACCGAGGAUGUGUUGCCAGCAAUGUAAGUCGCCAUCAUGAGACCUGGCUUCUCCCCCAGCCUUCUCUUCUUGUUGACAAGGCUCGACGCUGCGCCUCCUUGCGACCCCUGUGGCGAUGCACGGCGCUGCUACUCCCCUAGGACUCAUCUAGAUGGUUUUUUCCCUAAAUUUUUCACAUCCUUCAGAUAAACUUUUCUUACUGAUUUUUUUUACUGUUUGUUGGUAACUGAUGUUUUAAAGUUGAAGCAGCCAAUGUUUUACAGAUCGAUAUGUACCCUCUGUACUGAAUAAAUGGGUGUCUCAAUAGAUGGAUUGGGUCAAAGUAUGUAUAUAUACCACACUUGAGGUCAGUUGUGUUUUCUCAGGUUUGAAUGAUGACUGUUUUCAGAAACUUCUUCCGAAUCUAGGUCAUAGGCUGCGACUGAAGAUGCAACAACAUACCUCAUUCUGCUAUGAUGUUAGCUUCCUGCUUUAGUUACCAGGCAAAAUUUCUUGCGCUUUGUGCCUUCGUGUUUCUCGUUCACAGCUGAAUGAUGAUUGGGGAAUUCCUUUUAAAUGUGGUUAACAAUAAGGAUGCAAUCGCCUAUAAUUAGCUUGCUUUUCUAUUGCUAAGUAACUUUCUUAUGCCAUCAUUUUCCGAGUAUUUUUAUGUUGCAGGUAUCUUGUCCAGAGCCAAUGGAGACAAGCAACACCAUGCUGCUGCUAUAUCUUAAUGGUCUUUCUUUCACAAUAGUGAUGUACUUUUUAUACGUUAGGCAGUGGUAACCUUCCUUCUUUUGAUGAUGUUAUACUACUUAGUUUUGGCAUACACCAAUGUACCAGCUUACUUCUGUUUCACUUAUUUUGCACUUAGCCGAGCUUGUUACUUUGAAUCUCAUGCAAUACCAUUACAUAGUAUAAAUAAGAAAGUGAAAGGGACGCCUCCCACCUGGCACC
rnacentral:rRNA from 1 species